CGAUGUACAAAUGUGUAUUGGUGGUGGUACGACACUUGAGAGAUGGUGGUGGUGAUGAUAGCGAGAUGACAGGGGCAUUUGAGCAAUUUUGAUGGGGUGAUUGGAAUGAAGAGUGAUUGUGACAAAUUAUAUGGGUAAUUGUGAAUAAUGAAAUGGGUAAAUUGUGAUUAAUAAAUAUAUUACCUAUAGAUUUGUGACUUACGAUUAAUUUGUAUAUGAGAUCGAC
rnacentral:lncRNA from 1 species